rnacentral:snoRNA from 1 species
GACCACUGAUGAAGCUUGAUUCUGCCAAAUGAAUUAUGGUGAUAUCACAAUUCCCGUUCUACUUUUCUCUGAGGUU